rnacentral:lncRNA from 1 species
AGAGAGAGCGCCAGUCCCUGCUGAGAGCCUGGUGUGUCAGAUGAGAUAUGGUCGACAGAGACGAGGGUGUUUGGCUUCGGUGGCCUGGAGGACUUGCAGUGCACAGCAGCAUUCAUACAGGAGACAGGUCUGCUGCUGUCCUUGGCUGGUGUUCAAGUGAUCACUGAGGACAAAACCUACACUAAGCCAAUCAGUAAAAUGUCUGACCUGGGAAAGGAUGUCCAAGUGACUGUGGAAAAAGAAGAUGAGUUGAUUGCACAGUACGUCUGUCAUCAUGAUGAGAGCUGUAUGAAUUCCUUAAACACUGUGGGCCAGCUGACAGAGAAAUCGGGGUAUUUGGUUCUGACCAUGCAGAACAUCAGUCCAUUCGAUCGGUUUGAUGCAUUCAAAUGGGACGAAAAUGGAAAAACAACUCUUCUAAAGAAUUUUACUCUUGAUGAAGUUCUCCCGACCUCUGCAACACCGGAUCUGACAGAUGAAGCACUCAACCCAAGCAUCACUCAGACAGCAAACAGCCAAAGAAAGGAUCCGACAGAGCCACGCAACAUGACUGACACUACUAGAGCACUCAUUGGAGUAGGAGUAGUAGUAGUAGUAGUAGUAGGAGUAGGAGUAGGAGUAGCUCUACUGGCAAGACGAGAUUUAAAAUCUGGACGAGAUGGAAGAAUUGCAAAGGCCAUCGCAUUUUUUAGAAGGAGAUUUUGC